AUCUCCCACUGUCGAUGACGGGAGGGAAGAGAGAAGCGAAAGUGAAACUGUGCGAUGAGAAGCGGGAUGACUGGGAGGGUAGGGGCAGGGAGCGAGGGAGUCUCUCCAGAGUACUGGGAGGGCGACAGAGACAGAAGGAUUAGAGAUUACUUUUUGCCAAAAUCUGGAGCGCAGGUCAAAAUUCCCGGACGUCACGAUUCUGCUGUCAACAGAUGGCUGAAACUACUUUACUUCCCAUAAAGGCAAAGGAAUACCUUCGAGUACAGGAACUGUGAUCAGAGAUCUUCAUGGUACAUGGCAUUUGGUCAUCACGAAUCUAUCAAGUCAGCACCCAGCUUUGUUUUGAUAAGCUGAAGAAAUCAAACUCUUUGAGACUUUCAUUUUAAGACAUUUUCUCCUGUUUUCAGAAAGUCAUGGAGCAAACUUGGAUAUCAGACCUCUGACUAUCUGCUUAGCUUGUUCACCAGCACCCCGAGAGACAAGGCUUGAUGCAGAUUUCUGAUGUGAUUUGGCAGGUCCUGCGAAAAUAACUGCAAGACUUGCUGCUUUAUUGCUUGUCACACAAUAUUCAUACAUUUUUCAUUCAGCUGUAUCUUCUUUACAUAAUCUUUAUUUUUUUGCCACUUUCUAGAUUUAUUCUUACCAACAAACAUUUCCAUUUAUUUUUCUAUCAACUUCUUCCCUCAAAAUGCACCCCCUGCUAGGAUGCAAAUCCAGACUACUUUCACAUCUUUCUAAGACUUUAUGUUUUAGUUACAAAGUUCCUUCUCUGCAACUGGGAAACUUCUCUGCCCCUACAGAUAUGGUUACAUACACUUUUUAAAAUGUCUAUCAAAUACUGAAGUUGAUACCUCACAGGGAUUCAGAGAAGAAAUUACAUUUUACAAUGUUUCUUGAGCUGCAUGCAAAUAUUCGAAAUCUGGUGGAUUUGGUUCAUGUGCUUUUUCCAUGACCAUCUUUGGCUUCUAAGUGAGUGAAAACUACAGCAGAAGGAGCAGCUCAGAGAGGUGUACCCCACAUCCUAGCUCUGCUGCAGGCUGCAAAAACUUGCAAUCACAGAACAUGACAAUUAAUAAAGAAGCUUAGAGCUUUACUUUAAAACACCUAUAUUUGGUAUUUUUGAUAGUGAUGGGAGGAAGUUGCUGUGCCUGUUGGUUUUUUGUAGGCUUCCUGAGGGUUUUAGCAGGUUCAGGUGUUCCUCAUAUGAGAUGAUCCUCUUCUUCCUCCAUGUCCCCUUAACUGCACGUGUACCUGAUUUAAAAAUUGCCUCCUUGUCCCUGAUUGCAAUUUAUGCACUUGAUAUUUGUUACUGUCUUAGGCAACACUCUCAGCAGUGAAAAAAUUGUGCUCACGUGUAGUAAAAUUUCCUUCUCUUUGGGUUGAAAAUUGGGUUUGUUUGAUAGAAGAUAUUUGUUUCUGUCUCUUGACUAAAAGAUUUCUGACUUUGUCUCCCUCACUGUUUACAGACAUCAGGUAAAUCUCAUUUAGUUACACAGUAUGAUAGAGGCGAGGGGUUUAGAAACAUGAGUCAGGACUCACAUUUA